UCGAGCCGAGCAAGCCUUUCAGUCUGCGCAGACUCCAGCGCAAACCUCAAUGCGAUGGCUGCGCCGCUAGCAGACGCCACAGGCCGAGUUUUUUUAGCAGACGAUGGCCCACAAACGGGAUAGAGACGCGGGCUAAAGACUUCCCGUCCCUUAUUGAAUCGUACGAAUAUAGACAACGGUCUCGCGAAAGCGCAGUCCUCGGUCAAGGCGAAGCACAACUGCAACCGUUAACGGCGGGUAUGGAUGUUCCAAAUUUGCAAGCGGGGUUUGAUAAAAAAAAAAAAAAAAAAAAAAGGCGAGAAACGUUGGGGACUCACCUCACUUAUCGCAGGCGUCAACUCCGGUAAACAGAGGGGGUCCGGUCCUUCGCUGUACGACGCGGCGAAAAAGAGGAAUUCAGGCCGCACAGCGAAGCGACGCGUGCGAUGACAACAGUCGAGGUGUUUUCCUCGGAAGGUAGUAGAUCCAGUAGAAUCACAAAACUCACGGCGGAGAACGAAGAACACAGGGGGGGAGUAAACAAGCCAGCCGGCCACUGAGCACUGAACAACAAUCGGGCCACGGAGUUGGGGGUCAGAGAUCGAGACAGAACUGAAGCAACAAAAAGCAGCGUCAGCACUCGAAUUCAAAAACGUGGAAGAGUUGUCGUUCGACGGAUCACGUUUAAGUCCAGCGGUCCGUCCAGAGCUAAUUUCUCUUCUUUUUCAGUGACGGAGAAAAAAAAAAAAAAAAAAACGCGCGUACACCACACCACAAGAUACCUCUCUCCCCCGCUUUAUCGCUUUUUCCCGCUUUUGCUUUCGUCAACGGUGCCCCCGCACACACACACACACACGCACAAACUUCUCUUUCAGAUGCGGCGGCGGCGGCCGUAGAAGAAGAAAUCGACGGCCACAAGAAAACUGGGACGGACGGGCCGGUCGACGGUUCAGGCAAGGGGAAGGCGAGCGGCCGCGGCGGCGUUAUACGACGUCAAGAAAAUUCCACGCACACAAGCGAAGCGCGCACGGCCCGGCGCUCCUCGCACACGCUCCGGCACAGGCGGCAGCUGCUCCCGCGGGCUUGGAAUGCGAAGUAUGGCACAAAGAAUCCCCAAAACGCGGACGGCGGCGGGCGCCCCUAGUGCGCAGCGGCGCACGCGCAUGGGUGGGGCGUAGCGCGUCACUUCCGCCGCUCCGCGUGACGUCACGGCAUCAGAUGCCGGUAGUUCUUGCAACGUUCCAGGCGUACAUUCGCGGCGUCGCUCGCAUUUCUGCUCCAGGAGGCCAAGAGCACCCGUCGCGACAGGGGAGGAGGUUGCGGCGGGCUGCUCUGCCCAAUCAGGAAAAGAGCGAGGGAGAGAUAGCAAAAAUAUAGAUAAGAAAAUGGCGGGAAAGAGAGCGACGCCACUGUGACCAGGGUGUGCAGACAGAAGCAGACGACGGUGGAAAAACCGGCUGCGAAGCGAGCGACGUCGGCGCACACAGCGCCGCGUGGUGUCGGCGAGCGCAGUUAGCGCUUUCAGCUGACGGGGAUGGCUUUGCGAUGAAGCGGCGUAGAGCUCCGUUAAACUACUCCGCGUUUUGGACUGCGCUGUGUUCCGUCAGUUCUUGCUCUUAAUUGUUCGAGGCCACUGCUGCACACCAAUUGGCGCAUAUGGUGGAAGGGCCAGCGCUAGAUGAUUAUGCCAGGUGCCAGAUGAUUUGGGAGACCCGCGCACGCACAAAUCUUCGGGCUGACCAGCAAAGCGACUACUCUACGAGCCGAUGACCACAGGUCCAGUCCAAAUUGCGUCGUCAAGUGAAAUGAAUCUCUGCAACUCUUAUUAGUAUUUUUAAUCAUACGUUUUCUACGUAGUUCGACCUCUUCAGACAAGACAAGGCUCCGCGACUUCUCUACACUCGGUGGCUUCAGAUGAAUUCCAGUUGCUCUGGCGGCAAACGUGAAGUGUCACAUUAGAAAAACAUCAUUUGCUUUAGUGUGGCAAGCGCAGAAGUCGCAGCUACGACAUAUUCGUCGCGAGCAGCUGGGAAGGCUUUUGUGGAUGGCUGCUUUUUACGAACACUUUUGAAGCGAAUAAAGUCUACCCGCAAUCUGUUUA
rnacentral:lncRNA from 1 species